GCAUUAGAGCUAGAAUAUUCCUUACUUCGCCAACAUAUUACCUCACAGAGUUCACUUCCCACAACAGAUGAGAUUUUCUCUUGAGCUCUUCGUUCGACCCCCGCCGAAAAGAUCUCCACCACAACUAUGGAGACAAUUGCUAUGAUUUCUCAUGGCACUAAUGCACAUGGAGCUCAUGGUCAUAGUUAUAAGGGUCAUGGCCAUGGUUUUACUUAGAGUGAGGUUGUAGACGUCGUGAUAGAGGUAUUGGUGCUCGUAGUGCCUCUAUCUCCGGUGGUGGUCGUGGCUCCCGUUGCUGUAAUGAUUGUUAAAGGGCUGGACAUAUAGAGGCUUAUUGUUAUACACUUCAUCCGGAAUUCCGACCUAAUUUUAUUGAUUAUGCAGAGGUGGAACAGACUCCACCAAACUCUACUUUUACCCCUAACAGACUCCACUAGACUUUGCUAGUGUGUGGAACACGAGUGGUUCGUUUACAUUGACAGGUGCUGAGUAUGAUGCAUGGGUUCACUCCCAAUAGGUGACAAGUCCUUCAGCUCCUACCGCAACUCUGGGACAAACAUCAAAAGGAUCUAAGGAAUGGACAGAUGAUUAGUGGGGGACAUGAAUCCAAUGGUCCGUAUUACCCGAACAAGAAGGUGCAAGCUGCUCUGAUUAUGAAAAUGCACAUCCUCUAAUGUGUUUAGGAUGCAUUGUUGUGCUGGUCAUUUGCCACCGAACACUCUUCGGCGUUUAUUUCUUGAGUCCGAGUCUAUGAGUUCUUUUCAAUGUGAAGCUUGUCGGUUUGGUAAAUAUCAUAAGGUUUCUUUUCCUUCUCCUUUUCUUCUU